GUAAAGAAAGCCCCUUUUGUCCUGAAAAAAACAAUAUAUAAUUUGUGUGGGAACAGUAAAUGAGAGAGCGGUAAAUUACAGCCAAACACGAACACCACAAAAGUGUAAAGAGGCCUGGUCGCAAAAGUACAACAUCGCAAAAACAGUCCAGUCCUUAAGGGGUUACAUUUCGUACAGGAAAUUGUUCAUCCGAAUCCUCAGAAGUCUCCUGCAUUUGUACUCUAUAGGCAUUCUUUGCUCUGUCUCUCAAGCGAUUACUGCCUCUCUCUGCUGUGGAUUUACACACCCUUUGUAGGUGACACUUGGCAUCCUUGAAUCUGUAUGCAGU